rnacentral:rRNA from 1 species
UACGUAGGGUGCGAGCGUUAAUCGGAAUUACUGGGCGUAAAGCGUGCGCAGGCGGUCCGCAAAGUCUGAUGUGAAAGCCCCGGGCUCAACCUGGGAACUGCAUUGGAAACUAACGGGCUCGAGUGUGGCAGAGGGGGGUAGAAUUCCACGUGUAGCAGUGAAAUGCGUAGAGAUGUGGAGGAACACCGAAGGCGAAGGCAGUGUCCUGGCGAGUGACUGACGCUGAGGUGCGAAAGCCAGGGGAGCGAACGGG